UACGAAGGGGGCUAGCGUUGUUCGGAAUCACUGGGCGUAAAGGGCGCGUAGGCGGCUUUAUAAGUCGGGGGUGAAAGCCUGUGGCUCAACCACAGAAUUGCCUUCGAUACUGUAGAGCUUGAGACCGGAAGAGGUAAGUGGAACUGCGAGUGUAGAGGUGAAAUUCGUAGAUAUUCGGCGGAACACCGAGUGGCGAAGGCGACUCACUGGCCCGAUACUGACGCUGAGGCGGCGAAAGCGUGGGGAGCA
rnacentral:rRNA from 1 species